ACGAACGCUGGCGGCGUGCCUAAUACAUGCAAGUCGAACGAGAGCGACCGGUGCUUGCACUGGUCAAUCUAGUGGCGAACGGGUGAGUAACACGUGGGUAACCUGCCCAUCAGAGGGGGAUAACAUCCGGAAACGGAUGCUAAAACCGCAUAGGUCUUCGAACCGCAUGGUUUGAAGAGGAAAAGAGGCGCAAGCUUCUGCUGAUGGAUGGACCCGCGGUGCAUUAGCUAGUUGGUGAGGUAACGGCUCACCAAGGCCGUGAUGCAUAGCUGACCUGAGAGGGUGAUCGGCCACAUUGGGACUGAGACACGGCCCAAACUCCUACGGGAGGCAGCAGUAGGGAAUCUUCCGCAAUGGACGCAAGUCUGACGGAGCAACGCCGCGUGAGUGAAGAAGGUUUUCGGAUCGUAAAACUCUGUUGUUAGAGAAGAACAAGUGCUAGAGUAACUGUUAGCGCCUUGACGGUAUCUAACCAGAAAGCCACGGCUAACUACGUG
rnacentral:rRNA from 1 species